AGGGCUGUGCAGAAUGUGCUUUGUUAAACAAGUGCUUGAAGGCAGUAUGCUUGGUAAAAGUCAUCGCCAUUCUCUAAUCUUGAGUACCCAGGGACACGAUACACUGCGGAAGGCUGCAGGGACCUCUGCCCAGGAAAGCCAGGUGGUUUCCAAAAGGAAAAGCUUUGGGAGAUAGAAGUCCUCGUUUUGACCUCUGCCCUCCUUGUACACCAGGAGCCAGAAAAACUUCAUCUCUUUUACAAGAAACAUUGAGAUUCCUGUAAAAUUAAGAAAUCACACAAUUUGAUGGUCUACAUUAUCUAAAGCAAAUGAGACUUCUAUUUGGAACAAAGACUACCUUGUUGGGAAAUGAGUCUGCAAGUUAAAGUGUUUUCUGGAUCCAGUAUCUGCCGGAGGAGCCCCACCUUCUGCUACUAUUAUGUUCUUCAGAUGAGUAGAAGAGAGUGGGGAGGGAGAGAGCAGGAAGAAGAAAGGAAGAAUAAUGUCUUGAAAUUGUUUUCUAAGGAUAAUGGUCUCCAGCUUCGUCAAUGUUCCUGCAAAGGACAUGAUGCUGACUUUGAAGAUGCAAGCUUCCACAUCUACAGCCUCAAGGAAACAAAUUCAGCCAACCAACUGAGGGAGCUUUCCUUGUCCUGCCUCAAGAUGAGAUCACAGUCUGCCCAACACCAUGAUUUAGGCCUUGUGACACCUGGUAUGGAAGACCCAGUUAAGUUCUCUCCAAACUCUUGACCCACAGAACCUGUGAGAAAAUAUAUGGAUAUUAUUUUAAACUGCUAAAUUUGUAGUAAUUUGUUAUGCAGCAAUAAAAAAAACUAAUGCAAGGAGAUAUCAA
rnacentral:lncRNA from 1 species